rnacentral:tRNA from 1 species
UGCAUCGGCCGGGAAUCGACCCCGGGGCGCCCGCGUGGCAGGCGAGCAUUCUACCACUGAACCAAAAGC